GCAUAUUUCAGGUUUGUGCAUGAAUCUAAUAAAACCAUAAGCUAGAAAAAGAAGAUGGAAAGGUGGAUUUGUUUCAUGUUAGAUUCACGCACAAACUCGUAAUCUGUCU
rfam:Gossypium hirsutum cultivar TM-1 chromosome 26, whole genome shotgun sequence